UAUAUUAAAUGCCUUUGUAUUCCUUUCCACAAAUAAGAUAGAAAAUGUAUAAAUAAGUGCUCAGUAAAUGCUUGUUGAGUAGAUGACUGAAUAAACAAACAGAAACUUUCUGAAAACUAAGAUGACUUUUAUUUGGUAGCUAUUUGAUAUUGGCAUUGGUAAAUAAAACUGCGAACAUUUCUGUUGCAAAGGUAACACAGCUUUGUGGCUACAAUUCAGUGAUAGUACCAUUCUAAUAAAUAAAGGGCCCAUCUGCUGACUAGGAUAACACUGGGGAGGGGGGAACAAACUGAAUCAACUUGAUAAAUGGAAUUUCCAAUACGGUGAUAAAUUCAGGAUGUUACACUAACUCAGAGGAAGGGACUUUCAGUGUUCAAGGUGACAGCCAGGCCCUCAUUGCACACUGUGUAAUCAAAGUGUCUUGAGGUGCAGGUGCUUUGCCCUAAUGACUCUAUAGAGCUGUGAUAGCAGUUGAGAAAAUCUGUUUUAUGUGAUCUGAUUCUUUCUUUUGACAGAAAAGCUUCCUUUUGUGAACAAGAGGGUUUUGGAACAUCACCAAAUGAUUUUUCAUACCCAGAUUAAAAGCUUUAAUCUUGAAGACUGUUCCUAACUAGUAUUCAGCCUGAAAUAAUGAAUGCAAUUAGAAUCUUAAAGAACAGAAAUAACCUGGCACUGACACUGCAAUGUGGAGGCAGAGUAAAAAAAAGGCUACAUGCUCUUUAACGAUGACAGAUGUUCUUUUCUAUGGACCUUUGAGGAGGUGAUAGAUGGAGCUCUAGCAAGUCAUCUGUGACCACGAGUCAAUGCUGAAGAUGGAAAACAGAUAUAAACAGAGAAAGAUGACAAAAGGAGUCUAAGUCCCUAAUGAUCAUGGAUCUCCCAUAUUACUCCUGGUCUACCUCCUUCUCAGGUAAUCAAAUCCGGUGGCCUCUCAAAACAGCAUCCUUUUCCAACCCAUUUUGGAUUUCAAUUAUUCAACAAGCAUCUAGCAAAUAUCUACUAUAUGUGAAGCAUUGGAGUGGGUGCCAUAGUAAUCGAACACCAGCAUCUGCCCUUCGGGAGUUCACAAUCUAGUAAGAAAAAGGGAAAUGCCUAUUAAUCUAAAUUAAUAAAAGACAGCGUAUGCAAAGGGCCAAAAUGAGACUAAACUGAAAUGCCACAAACCACAGGAGAAGGAUGUGUGAAGGAUCUCGGAGAGGUGGGCUAUGGAGAAGGACUGCAAUAGGCAUGUAUAGAAAUGGAAACACAUUCCAGCAAAGGGACUCAACCUUCACCCU